rnacentral:tRNA from 1 species
GCGCCUGUAGCUUAAUGGAUAGAGCAUCUGACUACGGAUCAGAAGGUUGGGGGUUCAAGUCCCUCCAGGCGCG